rnacentral:rRNA from 1 species
UACGGGGGAGCAAGCGUUGUUCGGAUUUACUGGGCGUAAAGGGCGCGUAGGCGGCCACCGCAAGUCGACUGUGAAAUCUCCGGCUUAACCCGGAAGGUCAGCCGAUACUGCGGGCUAGAGUGCAGAGGGCACUGGAAUUCUCGGUGUAGCGGUGAAAUGCGUAGAUAUCGAGAGGAACACCUGCGGCGAAGGCGGGUUGCUGGCUGACACUGACGCUGAGGCGCGAAAGCUAGGGGAGCGAACGGG